UGAUUCAGCGGCGGACGGGUGAGUAAUGCCUAGGAAUCUGCCUGGUAGUGGGGGACAACGUUUCGAAAGGAACGCUAAUACCGCAUACGUCCUACGGGAGAAAGCAGGGGACCUUCGGGCCUUGCGCUAUCAGAUGAGCCUAGGUCGGAUUAGCUAGUUGGUGAGGUAAUGGCUCACCAAGGCGACGAUCCGUAACUGGUCUGAGAGGAUGAUCAGUCACACUGGAACUGAGACACGGUCCAGACUCCUACGGGAGGCAGCAGUGGGGAAUAUUGGACAAUGGGCGAAAGCCUGAUCCAGCCAUGCCGCGUGUGUGAAGAAGGUCUUCGGAUUGUAAAGCACUUUAAGUUGGGAGGAAGGGUUGUAGAUUAAUACUCUGCAAUUUUGACGUUACCGACAGAAUAAGCACCGGCUAACUCUGUGCCAGCAGCCGCGGUAAUACAGAGGGUGCAAGCGUUAAUCGGAAUUACUGGGCGUAAAGCGCGCGUAGGUGGUUUGUUAAGUCGGAUGUGAAAUCCCCGGGCUCAACCUGGGAACUGCAUCCGAAACUGGCAAGCUAGAGUAUGGUAGAGGGUAGUGGAAUUUCCUGUGUAGCGGUGAAAUGCGUAGAUAUAGGAAGGAACACCAGUGGCGAAGGCGACUACCUGGACUGAUACUGACACUGAGGUGCGAAAGCGUGGGGAGCAAACAGGAUUAGAUACCCUGGUAGUCCACGCCGUAAACGAUGUCAACUAGCCGUUGGGGUCCUUGAGACUUUAGUGGCGCAGCUAACGCAUUAAGUUGACCGCCUGGGGAGUACGGCCGCAAGGUUAAAACUCAAAUGAAUUGACGGGGGCCCGCACAAGCGGUG
rnacentral:rRNA from 1 species